rnacentral:rRNA from 1 species
AAUAGAUACCCGGGUAGUCCACGCCGUAAACGAUGAGUGCUAAGUGUUAGGGGGUUUCCGCCCCUUAGUGCUGCAGCUAAUGCAUUAAGCACUCCGCCUGGGGAGUACGGUCGCAAGACUGAAACUCAAAGGAAUUGACGGGGGCCCGCACAAGCGGUGGAGCAUGUGGUUUAAUUCGAAGCAACGCGAAGAACCUUACCAGGUCUUGACAUCCCGUUGACCACUGUAGAGAUAUAGUUUCCCCUUCGGGGGCAACGGUGACAGGUGGUGCAUGGUUGUCGUCAGCUCGUGUCGUGAGAUGUUGGGUUAAGUCCCGCAACGAGCGCAACCCUUGAUCUUAGUUGCCAUCAUUUAGUUGGGCACUCUAAGGUGACUGCCGGUGACAAACCGGAGGAAGGUGGGGAUGACGUCAAAUCAUCAUGCCCCUUAUGACCUGGGCUACACACGUGCUACAAUGGACGAUACAAACGGUUGCCAACUCGCGAGAGGGAGCUAAUCCGAUAAAGUCGUUCUCAGUUCGGAUUGUAGG